UCUGGCCUGCUCUGUCCAAGCACAGAGGUUGAUCAAGUGAACCUAUCAAAGGAUGGGCUGCUUGGCCCUAAACUGGUGUGGACUGCGUGAGUUUGGAUUCAUAGAGCAACAAACAACUUUCACUCUGUGCAAUGGAAGGAUAACAGAUGGG
rnacentral:SRP_RNA from 1 species